CACAGUGCUGGGAUUACAGGUGUGAGCCAGCCACCCGGCCAAGAAAAUUUUUUUUUAAAUCAAAGAAACUUGAGGAAUACUGGGUUAAACAAAAGCUCUGAAAAUGUCUACUUUUAAAAAGCAAAAGGCAUUAGGGGGUCUACAGUGCAAAUUUGCAUGGCAGAUUUCUAAGUAUUGGCAGGGUAUUAUGGGGACUCCCAAAAUGUUUCAACAAAGAAUUCUUUUCUCAUAGAGAAAUGGUCGGUCUCAUUUGGCAGAAUGCAUUUUGAGAAACACUCUCAUAGGCAGUCUAGACAUUUUUAUAGCUCCUCCCCUAGAAAUUCUGACUCUUUACCUCCAAUCACUUCUUGGUCCCCUUUCUGCAAGAUAUGUGGGAUAAACAAACACAAAAAAAUCUCAUGUCUCUGCCUCAGCCUCUUUAAUGAGGUCCAUUAAUAAUUAAGAGGACUGAGUGAUAGCAUGCAUGGAAAUCACUAAAAUGUGGUACCUGUAGUUUUGCUUUUAUGAUGGGAGCAAAGCUCUUUGCUUCUCUAAAUUGUGUUGGUGUUAGAAAAAUUCUGUUACAUCGUUAGAAUCGCCAGGCUGUAAGAUCCAAGCAUGAAGCAGAACCUCCCCUCUGAACCUCAGGUUCCUCAAUGCUAGAGGAUUUUUAGGCCAACAAAGAUUAAAGUUAAUUAAAGGAGGAACCUCAGGUUCACUUGACCACUCACCGUAAUCACCUUGUUUUCUAGAUCUGCUCCUCCUGCCAAGCUGAACCCAAGACCAGCACCUUCCUCCUUGUGUAAGAUGGUGACAUGGAUGCUGUCUAGUUGCUGCAGGAGGAAAUACAUACAUUCAAAAACAAUUUUACUGCAAGAGGAUAAACAGUUUAACAUCAGACUGACAUCAGACUGAUUUGUUAUCUCAAACCCCAGCUUGGCCAGCCUCCAAGUUACAUCACCUCCUCAAACCUCAGUUUCCUCAUCUGUAAAGAAUGGACUCUUCAGGAGUCAUGGGAAGCUUAGAAGAAAAAAAAUUUUCCAAGCUGAACAGCAAGAAGUAUUCAAGAGGAGGAGACUAGCAGAAGUGGGGGACACCCAGGUGGGUGAACUCCAGGUGCUAUUACCUGACUGAGCUGCCAAAAGGCAGAAGUGAAGAACCAGAAGUAGGAGUUAAUCUCACAGUAUCGUAAGUGUUUUAGGCCUAGAAGGGUGCUCAGAGAAUAUCUGGGCCGAUCUCUGGCAUUUUACAUUUCAAGAAGGGUAAGGGGCCAUCUGAUGGCAGUGCUCGGGCAAGACCCCAUGCCUCCUGACUUUUGAAGUUCAUGUCCUUUCUACUGCACUAAGGAGCCUCCAAGAUACUGUAUUAAAUGUGUAAAAGCCAAAGCAAUUCUCUUGCCAUUUAAACUUUUAAGACAAAGGUCAUGAGUUGACAGCUGUUUGUGCUUUGGCCUACCCAUGUCGUUAAAAAGCAAGGUGCCCGUGCACAACUGCCGAUGGGGCCCUCCAGCUUCCCAGAGCUCUUCAUGCUCCCUCUCACCCAGCCAACAUUUCUCAUGUAUGUACCUGCCUGGCCCUGAAGCCGUGUGUUUGCUGCUCUCCCUCUACACAGGUCAUUGAUCAGCUUGCUCGGCAAAGGAGUGUUUUCCCUCCCUCAAAAGCUGAUGAAAAGGUUCCAGGUAGAAAGAAAUCUGUGAAGUAGGAUUCUCAACCUUGGCUACACACUGGAAUCUGGAGAGCUCUGAAAAAUACUGACACCCACCCCUCGGUACUGAUUGAAGAUACCUGGGAUGCAGCCUGGGUGUUGGUAAUGUGAUCAGCAGGGGAUUGCAAUGCUCUGUGCCAGCCAGGACCUCAGGCAUGCCCUGGAGCACAUAGAAGUCUUUCUUAGAAGCCAGCAUUGAACCAGCAUCAUAUCUGCAUGGGUAAGGGAGACUGUGCCCCGGCUCUCUUUCUGAGGGGCAGAGGAAGGCUGGGCCUGUGUGCUUUUGGGGGAUGCUUGCUACUGGAAUGCAACCCAGUUUAAGGAACUCUGAUCCCUCCUGUCCCUUGUCUCAAUGCCAGGUUUCAAAAGAAGUGAAUCAUGGAGCAUUACACCUUGAUGAUAUCAAAGAGAAAUUCUGCACAAUCUAAGAGACUGGCCUUUGGCAAGUGAGCCCAGGCCUCCAGCCUGUUUCUGCAUUUUUGAAUGGCUUGGCUGUAAGGGGCUGUUGAGAGAAUCAGGAGGCACAGGUUCCACAGGCAAGCCCUUUGCAGACUGGAGUGACAACCUCCCAUUAGUUAAACACUGAGGCGUUUGCUUUCACUAGUAUGUUCCUCAAUUAGGGUGACUAAGGGAGAGGAGCCUCCACCCACAGGUCCUCUGCUCUGGGUGAGAUGUGCUAGAUCUUUCCAAAAUGUCCCUUAGCCCUCCAAAAGUCUUUCAUGAACUUUUGCUGUAGUGUUUCUCAAACAGUCAUGGUUUAUAGCCUAUAUGUUUAUUUCCUGCCACUACUAGUUGUUCCUUGGAGGCAGGACCUGACUACCUGGUCUCAUCCCUUUCUCUCUCUCCCCAGCAUCUAGCACGGGUCCUCACGAAGCCAGCAUUCAAUGUGCGCUUGCUGAAUGCAUCCCAUGUGAAUCUGGGCUCAGAAAGGCAAAGUAGGUUGCUCAGAAUCAUGCUAAUGACAGACAGAUCCAGGACUCCCUGACUUCAAGUCCUAUGCUCUCUCUAGCAAGCAAAUACAUAUUUGAGUCAUGUCUUAGCAUUGUCAGGUGUACCAUGUGGACACACCCUUGCUAUCCACUUCAUGGAGGAGGUGACCACUGGUAAAUGCUAUUUAUACUUUUCUGGUAUUGCAUUCUCUGACUCAGAAAUCCUGAAUGCAGCAGGGCUGUUGCAUCUGGAAUGUUGGCAUCCUAGAAGCAGCUGCCCAGGAUGGCUGGGUGGGUGUGUCUUUGGACCUCUUCCAAGGGCUCCAUCCUCCCGAUUAUCCAGAAUGGCCUACAUUCCUGCUGCCACCCCCACAGCAUCACCCGUCCACCCAGGAGGCUCCCCACCCUGGACAGCACCUCCAUGGUGCUGCUGCCUAGCACCCAGGACCCUUGACUAUUGAUCAGCCGGGUCCAGUGGUGGUAUCAAUGCAGAGCACUCUGAUCCUCAGGCCAGUCUGUGCUCUUAUCUUAUCCCUGUACCCUUUUUCAAAAGACCCUUUUGGAAGAUCUCAAUGAAAGCUUACCUGGGCUGGCUCUUCUCCGCCCUGGCUCACCCUCUGUGGAGGACUUGGUCUGUGGGCAGAUACCAGGUCCUGGGCAACUGGCAGAGGCACUAGGGCUUCUCCCUGCUGUGUCUUCCUGUGGUAGCAGCAGUGGCAGCAGCUCUCUGGCUUCCUGUGGUGUAAACAGGAAGCGAGACCGUGUCAAAACGGUAGCCUCAAGCUGUGAGAAGGCGAGACACGCUUUGAUUGGGAUGGAAAAACGGAUAUUGAGCUGCUUGCAAUGAGAAGUUCAUCAGCAGCCAUGUAAAGAGGUUUUUUUUUUUUCCUCCUUGGUGCUGACAUGGCAGAGACAGAACCUCCUAGACAUGAAGAGCAUCCCUUGACUUCCAGCAACCUGGUGUCCAGGUCAUGGGCUCAUACUGUUGACAUACGUGAAGACCCUGGCUCUUUAUGAUAGGAACAAAAGGCUUUGAGUGUAGAGGGACCAGCAUUGCUUCAGUUACAACUGCAUCCUGGUGAACUACCCACCCCAGGAGGGUACAGGGCAGUGUAGAAACAAGGCAGCAAAAAACCUGGCAGCUAGUGUUCCCUAAGGUUAGAGCACUCAGAAAAAUACUUGUCAAUUGCUGUCACUUGUUAAGCACUCUUCAAAUAUUUAGUAAGUGUUCUGCAAAAGAUGACAGAUACUCAGCACCUGUGCCAUUGCUCCCCUCUGUGGCACCUAGGGUGACACAUCAUCAAUCUGUUGCAGAAUUGUUUCCACCACUGAGCAUGGAUGCAGCCUUGGGGUCCUUCCAGAAACAGUCUAGGGACAAGAUGGACUAGGCUCUGAAUAGCUAUGCAAUACUUGAAGAAUCUGGAUUAUCAUACAGUGUACUUAAGGUGCUGUCAGGGCCCAGAGGAAACAGAGAGACCAGUUCCAUCCCAGAGGUGAAGAAGGCUUCCUAGAGAAGUGCUUUCUGUCUGCUUCAUAAACAGAGUAAGAAUUUUCCAGGCGGAGAGGCAGAAGAAGAGGGCUCCAGAGACAUAGCCCAACCAAAUGUAAUACCCAUCUGGAAAAAAAGAUUGAGAAGGCAGACAUCAUCAAAAUGAUGCCAUCUGUAUUUGAUCGUCUGCAAGAGAAAUGCUGUGUUAUACUGCAGUGGUCUCCACGUCCGGUUCAUUCCAGAUUUGUGUAAUGAUGGGCCAUUUGACAUGGCUGCAGGCUUCCUUCCAGAAAGGAAGGAAGGAGGAAGGAACAAAUGCAUCCUUUGGGACUAAAAAAGAAAUGGCAAAUAUCCAUGGCCUGAAAUUUAAGAUCUACAUUGACAAUAAACAUUUUGGGGGAAGGAAAGGUCUACAAAAGUUAGAAAUGUAUUCACAGAGCAUUGCCUCAGCUCAAGUUCCCUACUGUAGAACUGAGCUGUAGGAAAGCAUUAUGAAAUAUUGAGAGGUCAACUAAUUUCAGAGGAAUCAUUGGGCUUCUCAAACUAGCCCUUAAAAAAGUAAGGCUGAGUCAUGGCAUUAGAAGCUUAAAAUACUGGUCUGAUGAUCUCUAAGACUCUUGUCCACAAGAGAAAUGACAUGUGGAUGAAAUUUAAUUUCACCCGGUUGUGAGCUGUGUAAGUUGACAUCUGCUGACAUUCAUGAAUUGUUAGUGCUUUUACAGGCAGCCACAUGUGAUACCAACUGCAGUCAACGCAGCUUUACAUCUUGGAACAGACACAAACGUGUUUUGUCUUUUCAUCAACACAUCCAAUAUUGCAUCCUCUUCAUGGGAGACUUCAAAAUUAGCCCCUGAAAUAAAUUUGAUUUUACACAAA